rnacentral:rRNA from 1 species
UACGUAGGGUGCAAGCGUUAAUCGGAAUUACUGGGCGUAAAGCGUGCGCAGGCGGUUUUGUAAGUCUGAUGUGAAAUCCCCGGGCUCAACCUGGGAAUUGCAUUGGAGACUGCAAGGCUAGAAUCUGGCAGAGGGGGGUAGAAUUCCACGUGUAGCAGUGAAAUGCGUAGAGAUGUGGAGGAACACCGAUGGCGAAGGCAGCCCCCCGGGUCAAGAUUGACGCUCAUGCACGAAAGCGUGGGGAGCAAACAGG